rnacentral:tRNA from 1 species
AGCAGAAUGGCCUAGUGGAUAGAGCUCUGCACACAAUACGAUUGAAUAAAUACAAGUAAAUGAAAAUCAGAAGGACCUUGGGUUCUAAUCCCAGUUCUGCUA